rnacentral:miRNA from 1 species
AAUAUAGCCUUGCGAAGUUUGCCGUUUUUCAGUCAUUUUGUAUUACAAAUGGGAAAUUGACAUCCGAUUCGGGUGUUGGGGCUGCAAUUUCCCGUUUGUAAUGCAAAAUGACUGAAAAUUGCAAAUUUCGCAAGGCUCUAUU